rnacentral:rRNA from 1 species
GUAGGUGGCAAGCGUUGUCCGGAAUUAUUGGGCGUAAAGCGCGCGCAGGCGGUUCUUUAAGUCUGAUGUGAAAGCCCACGGCUCAACCGUGGAGGGUCAUUGGAAACUGGAGAACUUGAGUACAGAAGAGGAAAGCGGAAUUCCACGUGUAGCGGUGAAAUGCGUAGAGAUGUGGAGGAACACCAGUGGCGAAGGCGGCUCUCUGGUCUGUAACUGACGCUGAGGCGCGAAAGCGUGGGGGGGAGCAAACAGGAUUAGAUACCCUGGUAGUCCACGCCGUAAACCGAUGAGUGCUAAGUGUUAGGGGGUUUUACCGCCCCCCCCCGUUAGUGCUGCAGCUAACGCAUUAAGCACUCCGCCUGGGGUAGUACGGCCGCAAGGCUG